GUGAGGGUGAUCUGGCUGCGACAUCUGUCACCACAUUGAUCGCCAAGGUUGAUUCAGCUGAUCUGGAUGGCUAGGGGGGUGUCCCCUUCCUCCCUCACUGCAAAUGAAAGAGAUUUGUUGGUGCCCAUCGCUCACGAGUAUCUUGAGGCCACACUUUAAGCCUAACUGACUUUUUUAAACCAAAGUUUUUUUGACCGUAUAAAUUAUUUUCAAUCCCAAAUGUUUGCUUU
rnacentral:snRNA from 1 species